rnacentral:rRNA from 1 species
UACGUAGGGGGCAAGCGUUGUCCGGAAUCAUUGGGCGUAAAGAGCGUGUAGGCGGCUCGGUAAGUCCGCUGUGAAAGUCCAGGGCUCAACCCUGGAAUGCCGGUGGAAACUGUCGAGCUAGAGUCCGGAAGAGGCGAGUGGAAUUCCUGGUGUAGCGGUGAAAUGCGUAGAUAUCUGGAGGAACACCCGUGGCGAAGGCGGCUCUCUGGGACGGCACUGACGUUGAGACGCGAAAGCGUGGGGAGCGAACAGG